ensembl:lncRNA
AGAGCUGUUGAUUCAUAUGUGCCAUGACUUACAAUGCUUCUGCCUUCUAAUAUUAAAAAUUGCUCACAGGUGCAUAGUAAAAUACUAAUAUAGGAACCAAAGCAAGGAAUUCCAUGAUGAGAUUAUUAAAAAUGGAUGUGUUGCAGUUCCAGUGAUUGUCCAGUAAUAUGUAAGGUAUUGGUUGCAUUGAUCUGAGUUGUGUAAUCCCAGAUGAUGCAAAUUCUGAUAAUGCAGAACAGAAAGAGUGAAAGAAAAACUGCGUGGGCCCUAAUCCUUUCUCACAGGCAGAAGAUCGGCUUUGGAUUGCAGCACGUCAAAAUGAAAAUUAAUCCUUUCCCUUGAAAAAAAGGAAGUGCCAGUUCUCUUCUGUGAUGCCAUACAACUCUGCAGUGCUAGUCUUGCCUCCAAAAGCUGCCUGGUUCUUGUUCAAACUUAUACUGGACCUCCUAAAAAGGGAGUGUAAAUUGAAAGACCAUCAACAGUCAGAAGUGAUGCUAUUUCAUACCUCUUCAAAUCAGAAACUGCAGACAAUGUAAUUCUGCAAGUCUGUCAUGUUUUGUAGCCUUUCAUCUAGCAAGAUUUUAAGAUGUCUUAAUUUUAUCUGCUGCCAGGCCUGUAAAAAAGAUUCUUACUGAUUAAUGUGUAUAUAUAUUUUUUUUAACUGAAUGGAGAGGUUACGGUUUUUGAAACAUUUCUGGAAUUUGGGAUAAUUGAAAGAUUUUCUUGGAGAUUUGCAAUACUGAAUUAUAACCUGUACUGAGACUGGUACUUAGUUGGACUGCAUUGUAUUGAAAAUGUUAAUUUCUGAUUCUUUAAUGACAACAUAUGCAUAACUAAGAUUUGGCAUAUAUACCUGUAUUGCCUAUGUGUAUUUUACUUUACAAAGACACAGACUGGCCACAGGUUGAGCGAGAAGGAGGGCUGUGUGAUACUUACAAUGGAAUAGCCCAGAACUGUAAUGUUCAUUUCCUUACUCAGAAUUAUCUUACUGAUACUGCAUAGCAAUCAGGAAUUCAUGCAUCUAUUUUCUGCGUAUUAUAUAUUCUUCAUCUAGUAAUCUCAUUAAUGAAAAGCUUUUC